GCCUCGUUCAAGCUGCACCAAAAGCGGACCAGAGGUGGCAGCCCUCGCCUCCUCCAUGUUAGCAACGUCGUACUCUAUGGUCAAGGAAGCAACCGGAGCGUCCGAGCUCCUCCUGAGUGCCCUCUGGGCCUCUGCCAAGGUCCGUCAGCUUUCACUCCGGUGACGACCAGGGCUCUCGAAACGCCUCCCCUGAGGGUCACUCCUAGACUGCCCCCCUCGCGUUCCACUCUAACCUGGGCAACCUUCGAGGACACGCUGGACGGAGUCGACACAGGGCUAUCCUGAUCAUCGAGCAACAAGAAACUAUGCGGAUGGUCUGGCACGAUUCUUGUGCGAACGCAUGGUGGUCAGUCUCAGGGAACUGAACAUCCUCGACGUCCCUCUUCAGGGUAUUUUACCGAUCAACGUCGCUGCUUGGGGAAUAGACGAUUGGCAUCGCUGAUUAGACACGCUGGUCUAACUCGUUGCACUUUUAUUAAGGCACUGAUAGAAGAGGAAACUUUGAGGCAGUCAGGCACCUCGAGGAGGCUUUAAAUACACUUGAUAAUUCCCUGGAAAGGAUCAUCUAGCGGACACGGUUCCCCGUGCACGCUGUGCGGCGUCGACUGACCGGCGCUCAUCGGUAUUUAUUUUAAGAGAGCGUAUUUUUUCGCGCACUGUUCGCGCUCGUGUCCACGAUUUAUUUCAAGAGACUGGCUGGAACGCGUAGCCAGCACGUUGGAACGAUUAACCACAUUCGCACAAUCGGUGUAUCCCGGUUUCAGAACGAUCCAGGCGAUAGAAGAGGAGCAGCAGGUCGUCGAGGACACCCGGAACGAUCGAGGGUUUCUUGUUGGUCGCGGUGUAAACAGCAGGUCGGUGUCUUUGUUUGACGAGGCCGUGGUGGGCGAAGAAGUUGUAGCCGGAGGGAACUCGUUGGAACUGAGCGGCGGAGAUGUGUAACGAGUGGCGAUGCCUGUCGAAAAUAACUCGACGAUGGUAGGGCCGCAUCUCGUACAACGGAUCGUCUAUUUAUACACUGCGACACCCUCGCCGCUAUGGAGGAACGUGUACCGUUGGACGCGGCCCUGCAGGCGCCCCGCAGUCGCUCUACCGUCAAAUAAGUCUGCACUUCUCGUUAAAAGCUUAGAUUUCGAGUGUACGUGUUGCCGGUCGGCUCGCUUCGCCUACGGUUGCACCGUUUGAAAACCGCGUCUGAACCUACGGCGCGCUUAAUUUAACGGGGGAUCUCUUUUAUUUUUAGUCCGCGAUAUCGCCAACGUCGAACAGACGUUCGUGAUACCUAGAAGUCUUCGUUUAAACGACGCACACCGUUGGACGGUGACCAGAGAGACUUUGAUGCCAUUCAGAUUCAGAGAUUCUUUUUUAAACAUUUGUUUUUCAAAUCUAAAUUCAACGAUUCAAGGCUUUUGAAUAUUCUUCUCUCAUCAAUUCCUAAAUUUAUUUGAAAAUCAGUGUCUUUUAUAGUUUUAGUUCAUUUAUUACAAUAAUUGAUAUUAAAAUUCAUGUAGAGGCAUUUUAAUUGUCAUCCACUAUUUGAGGAUGAUAUAUUACUUAUUGAACUCUACAUGAAUUUAUUGAAAAAUGAAAUGAUUUCCUACUGGAAGUUUCAUGGCAUUCAAAGUGAUUAAUGUUAGGAUAAAGGCAUAGUCUUGGAUAAGAAUAAAUAAAAAACAAAAUACACGUAGAAAAUGAUAUUUAAUACAGAAUCAGCGCUACACUUAAGAACUACUCGAUCUUCCAAGAUCCUGUCGAAACUACAAUUGCUCAGAAGAGAGGAUAGAUAAAAAAAGAAAAGAAUCUAUUUUGUAAUCGUCCAGUGAACCAAGAGAGAAAGAGAGAGAGAGAGAGCAAGAAGAGGAGGAAUCAGGGUCCAUUGACCGAUCUUAAGUAGUCGGUUUUUGCAACCUCUUCCUACAACUUCUCUUCUCUCUCUAAAUCUUUCUUCGUUUCAAUUUCCAACUGUUUAGCCUCUCGCUCUCUUCCUCUCACUGAUUCGAUCUCCGUUUCGCAGAAGUCUGCCGGUGCGAACACCUUUCAUCGUUCUCCAUCCUUUGAUCUCAUAUUCGCAUGCGUUUCUUGCUUUAAAUCACAUCGUGCAUCGGAAUUUUUCAUUAAUUUUAUUACAAGUCAGUUCAGGCACAAUUGCUUAAUUUUAUAAUUAAUUUAGUUCAAUUCAGAGACAGUCUUUGUCUCAUUGAUCCAUUUCCAGAGGUGUGAUCCAUUCAUUCACUAACCAUCUUGGAACGGUUCAAUUAAAUCAAUUAGCCAAGUUAAUCGGUUCAUUAACUCUCCUUUUUAUCCCCUUCUGUAGCCUGUUUCUAUCAACGUCUAACAGAGCUGUUUUGAAAAAUUGGAUACAUUGUCUGAUUUUCAUAUUUAUUAACAAAAAGCUUCCCUUCAUGAAUCUAACAAUGGUUCUCUGUUCCAGGUUUAUCAGGAUUUAACCUAAUUAACCAGCCCCAUUAAUUUCAUCAAGCGCUCUCUAACAUUGUUCACCUUGUGACUUGACUCUGAACCUUGUCCCAUCAACUGCGAAGGUACUUAUCAAGCCCCUAUCUCUAAUCUGUGAUUCUUUGUUAGUAGAACCAUGUUCCCCAGUGACACGUGUCAUAGCAACAACCAAAAACCGAUUCCCAAUAUUCCAGAAUUCCAGCUGGAGAGGAGGCUGGACCAAAAGUUGACAUGUCCCAACGAGGCUGCACUUUGAAAGUGGCAAACGUGGUGGUUUGCCAAUUCCACCGUGUGCUAAAGUUAGCGUACAGUCAGCGGAGAGGCGAGCGUGCGACAAGGGGAGGAGGAAAACGGGCAGAGUGGGUUUUGGGAGUCGGUGCCGGAUGGAAAUAGAAAAAGGAAAAGUUGAUGAAAAGGAAAAAAACAGGUCACAGGAGGCGAAAGGUGUGAAGGGAAAGCUUGGUAGAAGAAGAAGAAAGGCUGCCCUCCAGAAGGGAGGAAGGGAGGCAGAAGCGAGAGGGUUGGUCCGUGGGUGGAAAACGCUCGAGACGGUGUCUAUCCUUGCCAAAAUAAUGAGCCACCUGGUGUAUUAAUAACCUGGACACGGUGUAACGCUAGACGUUUAGAAUAAACGCGGGAAUAUCAAGUAGUUACGCGUCUCUGAGAUUCAACUCGAGCGCCUUCCGGUUUCUCCGGUCGCGCCGCUCUCUCGUGCUGGGAUAAUCCUUCGCAUCUAGCCUGA